GACGAACGCUGGCGGCGUGCUUAACACAUGCAAGUCGAACGAAGUGGCGAACGGGUGAGUAACGCGUAAUCAACCUGCCCUUCAGAGGGGGACAACAUUUGGAAACGACUGCUAAUACCGCAUACUGCAGACGGGGAUUGCGUCUGAUUAGCUAGUGGGAGGGGUAACGGCCCACCAAGGCGAUGAUCAGUAGCCGGUGUGAGAGGAGGAGCGGCAAAAUUGGGCCUGAGACACGGCCCAGACUCCUCCGGGAGGCAGCAGUGGGGAAUCUUCCGAAAUGGACGAAAGUCUGACGAAGCAACGCCGCGUGAGUGAUGACGGCCUUCGGGUUGUAAAGCUCUGUUAAUCGGGACGCGGUACCGGAAUAGAAAGCCACGGCUAACUACGUGCCAGCAGCCGCGGUAAUAC
rnacentral:rRNA from 1 species